GGUUUUGAGUAAUCGCGGUUUGUUAAAGCAAGCUGAGGAAAGUCCACGCCGGCAUAAGCUGCAAUGCUUAUAGUGUUCGCGUUCAGCCCAAUAAGCUGGAGCACUUGGAAUUCCAAGUGACGGCAGUUAACGUACUAAGGUGUAAUAACUAGGUACUAGUAGCUUGAAAGUGCCACAGAAACGCAGUCUUUUGGAAACAAAAGAAUGGAACGGGUAAACCCCACGAGCAGGAAACCCAAACUUUGGUCGGGGAGCUUCAAUACAAGGAAAUAAACUUACGUUGAAGGCAUUCAAUAGAAUGCAGAUAGAUGAUUACUGAAGGUUAGUAGCAGAGCGCUCGCCUAACUGGAACAGAACGUGGCUUAUAAAA
rfam:Lactobacillus mellifer strain Bin4 genomic scaffold Bin4_scaffold1, whole genome shotgun sequence.